GAUGAACGCUGGCGGUGUGCCUAAUACAUGCAAGUCGAGCGAACAGACGAGGAGCUUACUCCUCUGACGUUAGCGGCGGACGGGUGAGUAACACGUGGAUAACCUACCUAUAAGACUGGGAUAACUUCGGGAAACCGGAGCUAAUACCGAAUAACAUGUUGAACCGCAUGGUUCAACAGUGAAAGACGGUCUUGCUGUCACUUAUAGAUGGAUCCGCGUCGCAUUAGCUAGUUGGUAAGGUAACGGCUUACCAAGGCAACGAUGCGUAGCCGACCUGAGAGGGUGAUCGGCCACACUGGAACUGAGACACGGUCCAGACUCCUACGGGAGGCAGCAGUAGGGAAUCUUCCGCAAUGGGCGAAAGCCUGACGGAGCAACGCCGCGUGAGUGAAGAAGGUCUUCGGAUCGUAAAACUCUGUUAUUAGGGAAGAACAAAUGUGUAAGUAACUAUGCACGUCUUGACGGUACCUAAUCAGAAAGCCACGGCUAACUACGUG
rnacentral:rRNA from 1 species